AACCCUUCCUAUACUA
rnacentral:tRNA from 2 species